UACAGAGGUCCCAAGCGUUGUUCGGAUUCAUUGGGCGUAAAGGGUGCGUAGGUGGCGCCGUAAGUCGGGUGUGAAAUUUCGGAGCUUAACUCCGAAACUGCAUUCGAUACUGCGGUGCUUGAGGACUGGAGAGGAGACUGGAAUUCAUGGUGUAGCAGUGAAAUGCGUAGAGAUCAUGAGGAAGACCAGUGGCGAAGGCGGGUCUCUGGGCCGAUACUGACGCUGAGGAGCGAAAGCGUGGGGGAGC
rnacentral:rRNA from 1 species